ensembl:lncRNA
GGCCAGCAAGUUCCCGGCCUCCUCAACCUGCCCCUUACAUUGAGGGCAGAAGUCGUGGGAUGACUUUUUGACUGAGCCCUAGACAAGCUGGGAAGAAGGGACCCUGUCUGCUGGAUUCCACCUGUGCCCCUGGUCCAAGAAGGCAGAUACCGACCCAUUCCUGUUGUACAUUGUCCUCAAGGCAUCAAGUCUCUUUGCAAGCCUAGCUCCUGCUGCACUGUGAGCCCUCCAUGAAUAUUUGAUGAAACUGAAAUAUGCAGGAGAGACUAACAUGGAGACGUCAGGCGAAGUCACUAUUUAUGUCACUUUGGAAGCAUUAACCCAUUUCAGCAAGGGUUACAGGAUGGUUCUGAUGCGCGGUGGAGGGGGGUGGUUGGGCCUCCUGAGUCCUGAGGACCUGGGCAGAGGGAAGCGGAUGAAGGGCGGCUGGGUCAGCAUGAGAAAGCCCGCCCCACCAACUGAGAGGCGCUUACAGGGAAGCUCAAAGUAGGGCAUUCACAUGUUCACGGACAAGGUUGGGGACCAAGCCCCAGGGUGAGAGUUAACAAUGACUGACCGCCAUGUUUUCUUACUCCCCAACUGUUAGGGGGGAUGUUGUGAUUUUGUGAAAUUAACGUAUGUGAGUGAAGACAGGGCAACUGAUGGCCGGCAGAGGUUCAACAACAGAAACGGAAACAGAGAAGUUUAUUACUCCCGGGUUCUGGAGGAGGGAACGUUCAAGGCUGGUCUUCGUUUGUUUUUUAUUUUAACAAACCCAUUUUCCUGAUGGGGAAAUUGAGAAGCAGAGAGAUUACAUGGUUCACCCAAGGCUUGUGGCUGCAAAUGGACCUCCAGUCAAGAGCCAGGCCCCCACGCUCGCACACAUACAUGCUCCAGACGUGGAGGAGGGCAUCGUCCGCCCAAGAUAAGAAAGGGAAAUACGGUAUCCAGGCCUUGCGAGAAGGCUCUCGUUGCCAAUGGUUGAAGCCCAGUUGCCCAUGAAGGGGCCAGAACCCGAUUGUGCCUUGGGGGCUGGGAGUCAGAGUCACAGCCCCACGCACAGUAGCAGGUUCUAGAACUGGCCCUCUGCAUAUGGCUGGAGACUGAAAGGGACUGUGCUUUUGUGAGACUGAAGCAAGCCGCUCCCCCAGUGGCUCUGGGCAGAGUCCUCCCGCAGAAAGUGGAACGGGCCCUCCACGUGGUACAGAAACGCCAAGUGGAGAAACAAGAUGGUUCACCAGAGGAGCCACCCGACUCGUGCUGCAGGCGCACGUGCGGCUCACGCAGGGCAUCUUUAGAGGUUUACUUCUGCUGACCAUGAACUCACGGUGAUGCCGAAGCCCAUGAGACCUGCCUCUCGUGCAACAGCAGGUGCAGCAAAUGGGCC